UUGUUCAUUUAAUAUUUUGGUUUGGAUCAUGGGAACUAGGUGUGAAUCCUAGGCUCUGCCGGAACGGUAUUACCCUUCGAAGCUUCAGCGAAGUAGGGUUAUAGCCCGAUACCACCCAAACCUUUUACCCCGC
rnacentral:ncRNA from 1 species